rnacentral:rRNA from 1 species
CCUACGGGAGGCUGCAGUGAGGAAUAUUUGUCAAUGGACGAGAGUCUGAACCAGCCAAGUAGCGUGAAGGAUGACUGCCCUAUGGGUUGUAAACUUCUUUUAUAUGGGAAUAAAAUGUUCCACGUGUGGGAUUCUGUAUGUACCAUAUGAAUAAGGAUCGGCUAACUCCGUGCCAGCAGCCGCGGUAAUACGGAGGAUCCGAGCGUUAUCCGGAUUUAUUUGGUUUAAAGGGGGCGUAGGUGGAUUGUUAAGUCAGUUGUGAAAGUUUGCGGCUCAAACGUAAAAUUGCAGUUGAAACUGGCAGUCUUGAGUACAGUAGAGGUGGGCGGAAUGCGUGGUGUAGCGGUGAAAUGCUUAGAUAUCACGAAGAACUCCGAUUGCGAAGGCAGUUCACUGGACUGCAACUGACACUGAGGCUCGAAAGUGUGGGUAUCAAACAGGAUUAGAUACCCUUGUAGUC